AGGUUGAUCCUGCCGGACCUGACUGCUAUCUGAUUGGUACUAAGCCAUGCGAGUCGUUGUACAAUACAAGGCGGACUGCUCAGUAACACGUAGUUAACUUAACCUAUGGAUGGGAAUAACCUCCGGAAACUGAGAAUAAUACCCAAUAGACCACAGUGCCUGGAAUGGCCUGUGGUUGAAAUGAUUUAUCGCCGUAGGAUAGGACUGCGGCCUAUCAGCUUGUUGGUGAGGUAAUGGCCCACCAAGGCUAUAACAGGUACGGGCUCUGAGAGGAGGGGCCCGGAGAUGGGUACUGAGACACGGACCCAGGCCCUAUGGGGCGCAGCAGGCGAGAAACCUUUGCAAUGUGCGAAAGCACGACAAGGUUAAUCCGAGUGUCUCCUGCUAAAGGAGUCUUUUGUCAGUUGUAGAAUCACUGGUGAAUAAGGGGUGGGCAAGUUCUGGUGUCAGCCGCCGCGGUAAAACCAGCACCUCGAGUGGUCAGGAGGUUUAUUGGGCCUAAAGCAUCCGUAGCCGGUUGCAUAAGUUUUCGGUUAAAUCUAUGCGCUUAACGUAUAGGCCGCCGAAAAUACUGUGCAGCUAGGGAGUGGGAGAGGU
rnacentral:rRNA from 1 species